rnacentral:lncRNA from 1 species
GCUAUGGGAAGACUCCGCUCGGACUCCUACGAGAGUCGGACUUCAUCCCCGACCUCGACUGAUGGUAAACUUCAUCCGGACUCCUACGGGAGCCAGACUUCGCCCCUGACUUUCAUUGCAGGUGGGCUUCAUCCGGACUCCUAUGGGAGUCGGACUCCGAGCUCCUCUUAAAUGGAUGGCUAGCCACCUCUCUCCGCCAGACACUCC